rnacentral:rRNA from 1 species
AGUGAACGCUGGCGGUAGGCCUAACACAUGCAAGUCGAACGGCAGCACAGUAAGAGCUUGCUCUUACGGGUGGCGAGUGGCGGACGGGUGAGGAAUGCAUCGGAAUCUACUUUUUCGUGGGGGAUAACGUAGGGAAACUUACGCUAAUACCGCAUACGACCUACGGGUGAAAGCAGGGGAUCUUCGGACCUUGCGCGAUUGAAUGAGCCGAUGUCGGAUUAGCUAGUUGGCGGGGUAAAGGCCCACCAAGGCGACGAUCCGUAGCUGGUCUGAGAGGAUGAUCAGCCACACUGGAACUGAGACACGGUCCAGACUCCUACGGGAGGCAGCAGUGGGGAAUAUUGGACAAUGGGCGCAAGCCUGAUCCAGCAAUACCGCGUGGGUGAAGAAGGCCUUAGGGUUGUAAAGCCCUUUUGUUGGGAAAGAAAAGCAGCAGGUUAAUACCCCGCUGUUCUGACGGUACCCAAAGAAUAAGCACCGGCUAACUUCGUG